UCUGGCGGCCAUAGCGGGUUGGUCCCACGCCUUCCCAUCCCGAACAGGACCGUGAAACGACCUAGC
rnacentral:rRNA from 1 species